UAGUCCACACCGUAAACGAUGAAUGCUAGUUGUUGGCAGGUAUACCUGUCGGUGACGCAGCUAACGCAUUAAGCAUUCCGCCUGGGGAGUACGGCCGCAAGGUUAAAACUCAAAGAAAUUGACGGGGGCCCGCACAAGCGGUGGAGCAUGUGGUUUAAUUCGAGGCAACGCGCAGAACCUUACCUACCCUUGACAUGCCCGGUUUGAUUAGUGGAGACGCUUUUCUUGAUUCGUUCGCCGGUGCACAGGUGCUGCAUGGCUGUCGUCAGCUCGUGUCGUGGGAUGUUGGGUUAAGUCCCGCAACGAGCGCAACCCUUGUCUUUAGUUGCCAUCAUUCAGUUGGGCACUCUAAAGAGACUGCCGGUGACAAACCGGAGGAAGGUAAGGAUGACGUCAAGUCAGCAUGCCCCUUAUGCUCUGGGCUACACACGUGCUACAAUGGCCGUGACAAAGAGUUGCUACUUUGUGAAAACAAGCUAAUCUCAUAAACGCGGCCUC
rnacentral:rRNA from 1 species